rnacentral:lncRNA from 1 species
AUAGAGAACCUUGCUAGGCUUUGGGGGAUAUGGGUAAUAAUUUCUGUUUUUACUUAUGGCAAGCAACUUUUGAUUCUUCCUAACCCUGCAUGUGUUUUUUUUCUUUUUCUUUUUAGACAACAUAAGUUGCAGGAGAAUUGCUGAAGUUACUCUGAGUGACACAUUUGAGCAUUGGAAUGGGUGGUGAAGAACUGUUGGACUGGGAGCUGGUGCCACUGAAGCAUAAUGGUAAAGAGAUCUGUCUCACCAGUCUGAUCAAAGAAACCAACAUUCAUGGCAGAACAGAUUUCAACUGUGGUAUUUCUGGCUGAAGACACAUAAAGUGCUUGGGGAAGUAAUUUAACAAUGAAGUGAUCUUAUGAUAGUGUUAGAACAGGACAUUAGUAAACAGUAAGAGCCUGACAUGCAGUGGUGUAGAAGAAUCAUUGAUUUGUGGUGUUAUUAUGUAUGGCUGGUCUAAGGCUAUGUCAGAAUAGUGUUUUCUGGCAGCAAGAACCACAGAGAUUGUCUGUAGUUCAUGGUAGCAGUAAAGAUAUAAUUGUCAUAGCAGAAAACUAUAUGGAGUAAUAAACAGUUUUGUUGGGCAUUAAAUAAGGAUAUG